rnacentral:rRNA from 1 species
UGAGGAAUAUUGGUCAAUGGUCGGGAGACUGAACCAGCCAAGCCGCGUGAGGGAUGAAGGUACAGAGUAUCGUAAACCUCUUUUGUCAGGGAACAAAAGGCGCCACGCGUGGCGCUCCGAGUGUACCUGAAGAAAAAGCAUCGGCUAACUCCGUGCCAGCAGCCGCGGUAAUACGGAGGAUGCGAGCGUUAUCCGGAUUUAUUGGGUUUAAAGGGUGCGUAGGCGGCGAGUUAAGUCAGCGGUAAAAGCCCCGGGCUCAACCCCGGCCCGCCGUUGAAACUGGCUUGCUUGAGUUGGAGAGAAGUAGGCGGAAUGCGCGGUGUAGCGGUGAAAUGCUUAGAUAUCGCGCAGAACUCCGAUUGCGAAGGCAGCCUACCGGCUCCAGACUGACGCUGAGGCACGAAAGCGUGGGUAUCGAACAGGAUUAGAUACCC